rnacentral:rRNA from 1 species
CAGCGCCACGGUAAUACGAGGGGGGCAAGCGUUGUUCGGAAUUAUUGGGCGUAAAGGGUGCGUAGGCGGUUUCGUAAGUCUGAUGUGAAAUCUAUGGGCUCAACCCAUAGUCUGCAUCGGAAACUGCGAGGCUUGAGAGUGGGAGAGGUGAGUGGAAUUUCCGGUGUAGCGGUGAAAUGCGUAGAUAUCGGAAGGAACACCUGUGGCGAAAGCGGCUCACUGGACCAUUUCUGACGCUGAUGCACGAAAGCUAGGGGAGCAAACAGGAUUAGAUACCCCAGUAGUCCCUGUCUCUUAUACC